rfam:Triticum aestivum genome assembly, contig: Triticum_aestivum_CS42_TGACv1_scaffold_374670_5AL
UAUGUACUCCCUCCAUCCGGAAAUACUUGUUAUCAAAGUGAAUAAAAGGGGAUGUAUCUAAAUGUAUUUUAGUUCUACAUACAUCUUUUUUGUCCAUUUUGAUGAGAAGUAUUUUCGGAGGAAGGGAGUAGGAU